rnacentral:pre_miRNA from 1 species
AUUCUACUCCCUCCGUUGCACAAUACAUGCCUUCUAUUUGUCAAAAUAUAUAUGUAUCUAGAAAUGUUUUAGUAUAUAGGUACAUCCAUUUUUGGACAAAUGGAAGUCAAGUAUUUUGGAAUGGAGGGAGUACACA